CAGAUAUACCGUGAAGUCGAUAUCUCCAGAUAUCCCGUGAAGUCGAUAUCUCGCGGAAAAACUCUCGAAACAGAUCUCGAAAAUACAUUUCACAUCGAAGAAGGAUAUGAGACGACAACUCAUCACCCUUCUUCCACGCCAUACAUAAGCUUAUGAAAAAUGCAACUCGAUAAUCUUGUCAUAAAAAAAGCCGCAGAGCGGCAGGUAUUCAAAACCACAUAUGGCCAGUCCCGAAACACGGAAUGUGGCCAUUUAAGGCCAAAACAUCAAACAUAAAAAAAAAAAUAUCCCGCAAGAGAUCUAACCAAAGUCACCCUCUUCACCCGUCACUUCAUUCAAACCUGGAGCCGCAUCACCUCCGCCUUCUCCGAGCACCGGAUCUUUCUCCUCCGGGCCUUCUGAACACGUCGGAAGAAAGCACGCGGAUUUCAGGUCAGCUAGGAUGAGAUUGAAAUCUCCAUCUACGACUGCCAAAUCUCCCUCUCAGCCGGACAGUCGGGCCUCUUCGGCCUCUAAGGUCGGAGGAGUCUCGCUUUGGAACGACUGAACCACGACCAUCCCGCCCUCAA
rnacentral:lncRNA from 1 species